UACAGAGGUCUCAAACGUUGUUCGGAUUCAUUGGGCGUAAAGGGUGCGUAGGCGGCGCGGUAAGUCGGGUGUGAAAUCUCGGAGCUUAACUCCGAAACUGCAUUCGAUACUGCGGUGCUUGAGGACUGGAGAGGAGACUGGAAUUCAUGGUGUAGCAGUGAAAUGCGUAGAGAUCAUGAGGAAGACCAGUGGCGAAGGCGGGUCUCUGGACAGUUCCUGACACUGAGGCACGGAAGGCCCAGGGGAGCAAAACGGG
rnacentral:rRNA from 1 species